AGCAGCCGCCACGGUAAUACGGAGGGUGCAAGCGUUAUCCGGAUUUAUUGGGUUUAAAGGGUCCGUAGGCGGAUCUGUAAGUCAGUGGUGAAAUCUCACAGCUUAACUGUGAAACUGCCAUUGAUACUGCAGGUCUUGAGUAAAUUUGAAGUGGCUGGAAUAAGUAGUGUAGCGGUGAAAUGCAUAGAUAUUACUUAGAACACCAAUUGCGAAGGCAGGUCACUAAGAUUUAACUGACGCUGAUGGACGAAAGCGUGGGGAGCGAACAGGAUUAGAUACCCCAGUAGUCCCUGUCUCUUAUAA
rnacentral:rRNA from 1 species